AAAACAUCUUCUCUCGUUUAUUUUUUUGAGAUUUGGCCUGCCCAAUGAGUAUUUAAUGGCCGCGGUAUUUUGACCGUGCAAAGGUAGCAUAAUCAUUAGUUUAUUAAUUGUAGACUUGUAUGAAUGGUUUCACGAAAUAUUAACUGUCUCAUUAUUAUUAAUUGAAUUUAAUUUUUAAGUUAAAAAGCUUAAGUUUUUUUGUAGGACGAGAAGACCCUAUAGAUCUUAAUUAGUUUUAAAUUUAUUUUAUUUAGUUGAUUUUUUUUUAAGUUUUUUAUUUAUUUGGUUGGGGUGACAUGGAGAUAAAUAUAACUCUUUAUUUUCUAUUACAUUGAUUUUUGAAUAUUUGACCUUUUAUUAUUGUUUAUAAGACAAGAUACCUUAGGGAUAACAGCGUAAUUUUCUUUAAGAGUUCAUAUCGACAAGAGAGAUUGCGACCUCGAUGUUGGAUUAAGAUUUACUUUAGGUGUAGAAGUUUAAUUGUUUAGGUCUGUUCGACCUUUAAUAUCUUACA
rnacentral:rRNA from 1 species